GUUUUAAGAAACAGAAGAAAGGUCAGGGUGGCUGUGGCUGGAACCUCCAACAGGAAGGUUGUUCUUCCCACGGAUCCAAAGGCUGUACAAGGGCAAAGACACUACAGCUGCCUGAAGUUAGUGCUUUAGGAUACAGAGCAGUAAGAGAGGAUGAGAUGAGAUCCGCUUGGAUACCAGCACCCCACUCCAGCCUCGAGAAAGCUUUUAUACAGUCUGCCAUGGUUUUACACAGGCUAAACUGGAAGACAGAUUCUGCUGAUUUUUUUUUUAAUCCGAUCUCACAAAGCAGCAGAAUGGAUUCAAAAUUACCCUGAAAACGUUGGAAGACAGUCUUCUCUCUCGCCUCUCCUCCGCCUCUGGGAACUUCCUGGGAGAAACAGCGCUGGUGGAAAACCUGGAGAUCACCAAGCAGACUGCUGCCGAAGUUGAGAAAAAGGUCCAGGAGGCCAAGGUGACCGAAGUGAAAAUCAACGAGGCCCGAGAGCACUACCGGCCAGCAGCUGCCAGGGCCUCACUGCUCUACUUCAUCAUGAACGACCUCAGCAAGAUCCAUCCAAUGUACCAGUUUUCUCUCAAGGCCUUCAGUAUCGUCUUCCAGAAGGCUGUGGAGAGGGCUGCUCCUGACGAAAGCCUCAGGGAGCGGGUGGCCAACCUAAUAGACAGCAUAACCUUCUCUGUGUACCAGUACACCACCCGCGGGCUCUUUGAGUGUGAUAAGCUGACCUACCUUGCCCAGCUCACCUUUCAGAUUCUCCUCAUGAACCGAGAAGUCAAUGCAGCGGAGUUGGAUUUCCUGCUUCGAUCUCCAGUGCAGACGGGCACCGCCAGCCCCGUGGAGUUCCUCUCCCAUCAGGCGUGGGGAGCCGUCAAGGUACUUUCAUCAAUGGAAGAAUUCUCUAAUCUGGAUCGGGACAUAGAGGGAUCUGCUAAGAGCUGGAAAAAGUUUGUGGAGUCCGAAUGUCCUGAGAAAGAGAAGCUCCCACAGGAGUGGAAAAAUAAGACAGCCCUGCAGCGUCUCUGCAUGAUGAGAGCCAUGCGGCCCGACCGGAUGACCUAUGCUUUGCGAGAUUUUGUUGAAGAGAAGUUAGGAAGCAAAUACGUGGUGGGAAGAGCCCUAGAUUUUGCAACCUCAUUUGAAGAAUCGGGACCAGCCACUCCCAUGUUUUUUAUCCUGUCUCCAGGGGUGGACCCACUGAAGGAUGUAGAAAGUCAAGGAAGAAAACUUGGAUACACCUUCAAUAAUCAGAACUUUCACAACGUGUCUUUGGGGCAAGGACAGGAAGUGGUGGCUGAGGCUGCGCUGGACCUCGCUGCCAAGAAAGGUCACUGGGUUAUUUUGCAGAACAUUCACCUGGUGGCCAAGUGGCUCAGCACCCUGGAGAAGAAGCUGGAGGAGCACAGUGAGAACAGCCACCCAGAGUUCAGGGUGUUCAUGAGUGCAGAGCCGGCACCCUCCCCUGAGGGCCACAUCAUCCCCCAGGGCAUCCUGGAGAACUCCAUUAAGAUCACCAAUGAGCCCCCCACGGGCAUGCAUGCCAACCUGCACAAGGCCCUGGACAACUUCACUCAGGACACUCUGGAGAUGUGUUCUCGGGAGAUGGAGUUUAAGAGCAUCCUCUUUGCUCUUUGUUAUUUCCAUGCGGUGGUGGCAGAAAGACGAAAAUUUGGGCCCCAGGGAUGGAAUCGCUCGUACCCCUUUAACACUGGAGACCUCACUGUCUCUGCGAACGUCCUCUACAACUUCCUGGAGGCCAACGCAAAGGUCCCCUAUGAUGAUUUGCGCUACCUGUUUGGAGAGAUCGUGUAUGGAGGCCAUAUCACAGACGACUGGGACAGAAGACUCUGCAGAACCUACCUGGGGGAAUUCAUUCGACCAGAAAUGUUAGAAGGAGAACUGUCUUUGGCCCCAGGGUUCCCACUCCCAGGCAACAUGGACUACAAUGGUUAUCAUCAGUACAUCGAUGCGGAGCUGCCCCCAGAAUCCCCCUACCUCUAUGGACUCCACCCGAACGCAGAGAUUGGCUUCCUGACCCAAACCUCAGAAAAGCUCUUCCGCACUGUGCUGGAGCUGCAGCCUCGGGACAGCCAGGCCGGAGAUGGAGCAGGGUCCACAAGAGAAGAAAAGGUCAAGGCACUUCUGGAAGAAAUAUUGGAGCGGGUGACAGACGAGUUUAACAUCCCAGAAAUGAUGGCCAAAGUGGAGGAGCGCACCCCUUACAUUGUAGUUGCCUUCCAGGAGUGUGGCCGGAUGAAUAUCCUCACCAGAGAGAUUCAGCGCUCGCUGAGGGAGCUGGAGCUCGGCUUAAAGGGGGAGCUGACUAUGACCAGCCACAUGGAGAACUUACAGAAUUCCCUGUACUUCAAUAUGGUGCCAGAGUCCUGGGCUAGACGAGCCUACCCUUCCACAGCAGGCCUGGCAGCCUGGUUUCCAGACCUCCUCAACAGAAUCAAGGAGCUAGAGGCUUGGACGGGUGACUUUACAAUGCCCUCCACUGUGUGGCUGACAGGCUUCUUCAACCCCCAGUCGUUCCUGACUGCCAUCAUGCAGUCUACGGCUCGCAAGAAUGAGUGGCCACUGGACCAGAUGGCCCUGCAAUGUGACGUGAUGAAGAAGAACAGAGAAGAGUUUAGGAGUCCUCCUCGGGAAGGGGCCUACAUCCAUGGCCUCUUUAUGGAAGGUGCCUGCUGGGACACACAGGCUGGGAUCAUUACAGAGGCAAAGCUGAAGGAUCUGACACCCCCUAUGCCUGUGAUAUUCAUCAAGGCCAUUCCUGCAGAUAAGCAGGACUGCCGCAGUGUCUAUUCCUGUCCUGUGUACAAGACUAGUCAGCGGGGACCCACCUACGUGUGGACUUUCAACCUGAAGACUAAGCAAAACCCAUCCAAAUGGGUUCUGGCUGGAGUAGCCUUGCUUCUCCAGAUUUAGCGUCCUGCAGAGCCACCGAGAAAAUAAAAAAGCUGGGCUUGGAGGCUGCCCAGUGGGACAGGUGGGUGAAGGGGCACCACAGACACUUAGAAAGGUAAGAAACCAUGAGCACUCACAAUUCUGUAGAAUUCCUCUAGGGAACUUGGAGAGGUGUGCCUAAGGUGAGGCUGAGCUGAAGGAAUAUGGGCCCAGGUUUCUUAAUAAAAUGAUUUACUCUUCAA
rnacentral:sRNA from 1 species